rnacentral:ncRNA from 1 species
UUAAAGUUUGAUUUUGGCUUUUAUAUUAGUAUUAUAAUUUUUUUGCAUGUAUAUUUUUGUAGGUUAAAAAUUUUUUUGCAGCAUUUAGUUUUAAUAAUUAAAGAAAUUUAGAAUUAUGAAUUAUAUUGUUUAAGUAUUGACAAAGAAAUUGUGCCAGCAGUAGCGGUUAAACGUUCUAAUACGAAUUAAUGUUUUUAAUUAAUAAAUUAUAUUUUUUUAUUAUAUUAUAAAAAUAAAUUUUAAGGUGAAAUUAAAUUUAUUUUUAAAUAUAAAUAUAAAUAUAAAUAUAAAUAUAUUAUUUUAUGAAACCUAUAAUAAAAACUAGGAUUAGAUACCCUAUUAUUUUAGAUGUUAAAAUUAUAUUUUAAUUAUUAAUAGUUAUGAUCUUGAAAAUUAAAAAAAUUGGCGGUAUUUAAAACUAAUUAGGGGAAUUUGUUUAUUAAACGAUGCUCCGCGAGAAAUCUUACUUUAAUUAAUUUAGUUUAUUUAUUUUCGUUAUCAGAAUAUUUUUUUAGAAUAAAAAUUUUCAAAAAAUUUUAUAAAUAAAAUCUUAAUUCAGAUCAAGAUGUAGCUUAUAUUAAAGUUUAAAUGAAUUACAAUAAAAAUUAUAUUUUUGGAUAUAAAUUGAAAUAUUUAUUUAAAAUGGACUUAAUAGUAAAAUUUAAAAUUAUAUAAGUUUGAAUUUAGAAUUAAAUGUGUACAAAUCGCCCGUCACUCUCAUUAAAAUUGAGAUAAGUCGUAACAUAGUAAAUGUAUUGGAAAAUGCAUUUAGAAUUU